UUUUCUAAACUAACCUAAUUAUGUACAAACAGACGAGUUCAUAUACUUCAAAAAACUAUAAAUAUAUAGAUAAAUUUGUUUAACUACUAACACUUUGCGUCCUUCAGAAAGUGAUGGAUUUUCAGGGUUGUUUAAUUGCUUUCAAUCAAAAAAUAAAAUAAUAAGGUACAUAAUCGUACGUAUUUGCAGAAGGUGAUGUGAUAAAUAUAGGUUCUUCGCUUGCGUUUACAUGUAUUCGUUUAUUUAGAAGUCGUUACAAAUACACAUAUAUUGAAUAUGGCCAGUGAUUUCGUAACCACAUGAGGAGCAAAAAUGUGUAUAACAUUGGAACGGUGAAAUCGAAACAAUUAUUUAAUAAUCGGCCAUUUUGUUUUGACCAUUUUUAAAUUAGCACAUCAUGAAUAAAUAAAUAUUCUACCAAUAUGAAUAAUUACAUGAAA